CGGUCACGUUUUCUUCUUUCCGACGUAGGAUUGAUCAAAAGAAAUCUAUUGAGUUUAAUUCAUUGCAAAAUUCUAAGUUUGAUUCCAAACAAACAAGGGAUUAUGAAUGAAAUGAAUCUUGGCCGCCUCUCCCCUCCCCAAUACAUAAAUUUCUCUGCUCUGCCUCUGCUCAUUGCUUCAGAAAAAUGUCGGAGUUAUUCUCUACUCUUUUCUUUGGGGAUAACCCAGAAUUUGAGGAUUUUCUCGCUCAAGAUCUUGAGGGUUUCUUGGGGCAACGAGCAAGUUCCCACGAGUCCUCCCCUGAUUUGCACUUACCGUUACUGGUUUUGAUGGGCGACGAAGAUGAUGCUUCGAUGAUGACAGAGUUAGCAACUGAUGAUGGUGAUCCACAGACACAGCCUGCGAGUGCCGAGUUCGUUGAACGGCUGGAGACGGUCAAAAUCGAAGAAUCGGGUUUGGAGUGUUCGAUUUGCUUGGAUAAAUUGUCGAUAGGGUCGGAAGGUAGGCGGUUGCCAUGCUCGCAUCUUUAUCAUGGCAAUUGCAUCGAGGAGUGGCUGAAGAAGAGCAAGACAUGCCCUUUAUGUCGAGCGAGUUGAUCGAUCGUUGGAAAGAUUCAUUGGAUGCAGAGAUAAUUUCUUCAUCAAGAGAACCUCUGGGCAAAAGACUUGGAUUCCAGGCGAAGCAAACUAUUCGGAUGUCAAGAAUAUUAUCGGGCCAUUACAACAGGGCACGUGGUGAAAUGUACAAUUUUAUUUUUUUAGGGAGAAUUUGAGAACUACGUGGACCUGAUCCUCCAUUUUGUAUUGUAAGGAGGUACGUAGGCAGCUUCAGGGUGCGGUCCAAAUUAUGUAAAAAAAAUUUUUUUCUGUUCUCCUUAGAAGGGGACCAGUUUUUUUUCAUUUGUCUUUGGUGCAGAAUUUUGCUGGAUGAGCAUAUUGCUUCUGAUUAACCAGUGAAACAUUCAAUUUUGCCUCAUGUCAAUGACUUAGCACUAAAAAACAACUGUUGCUCCACUGGUAUCUGUUCAUAUGAAUAUCUAAAGAGAAGGUGUACCAGUGAGAUUUACAAUGCACCCAUGCUUUUUGUUGAAGUGCUGAUGUUAAUCAGAAGCUGGGAAUUUGUAUCUAUUGUUAGGUAAUAGUCAAUGCUCUCUUAUGCUUUGGGGAUCUUGUUCACACACUUGAUAAACAUGCUGUUCUGGAAAUCUUGCAAACAAUUCAACAUUUUAAGCUGUUGACCAUUCUGCUCCCACCCUUAUGUUAACCCUUGGGGUUGGAAUUGUAAAUUCAAUUCGUAAAGAGUAUGGAGUAGAAUUUGUAGCAGAGCUUUUCCCUCUUCUCACUGCCCAACAAUUAAAUGUUCAGCAGUUUGCCAAAUAUAUGCGUGAGAAUACCAGAUUGAGAACUGAGAAAUGAAUUAUGCAAUCUAUAUGCACUUUCUGAAAGGAUAUCAUCGGGAACCAUAAGUCCUGAUCGCCCUCUUUCGAGCAAUCAGCCAAUUCAGUUAGCUUCUUUGCAAUCAGAAUCUUCCUUGAUCGCUGCUGUACCUGGUCAGCAAACAGCUACUUCAUGUGACUGCUUUUAAAAUUAAAUUAAUGUUUCUGAACAUUCCUUUCA